CUCUGCAGGGCCGAGUUUGAGGCCAUCCGGCGUAUGGCAUCUUUCGAGCCUCCUGUAGUUGAUGAAUGAGCGUUUCCCAAAGUGUAUUCUGCGGAACUAGCACCUACUGUGUUCUCAACACCGUGCCACCUAUAGAAGAUGAUCAUGGGAACAGCAAUAGUAGUCAUGUAAAAAUCUUUUUACCGAAAAAGCUGCUUGAAUGUCUGCCGAAAUGUUCAAGUUUACCCAAAGAGAGGCACCGUUGGAACACUAAUGAGAGAUCAUGAUGCAGCCGUCCUUUUGGAUUUCUUUUUAAUAAUGUGUGACCCUUCACCUUUGAUCCCCUGACCUGCAUUACCUUGGCUCUCACCACACACUUGUUCAUGGGCACAGCAAGAAGAGGGAUCCACAGAGCUGGAGCCGUGAAGGCUGACACAUUGGAAUGAAAGCUGGCAGAAUUCGUAGGGAGAGCUUUGCCAUCCUGCCAGUUCCAUAUCUGGCUUCAAGACAAUUCUAUUAGUGAAUUAAUUGUACUCAAAACCCGAAAUUAAUUUGAACCGAAUGUUACUAAAAAUGACAUAGAUUAAAGUAACCCACUCUUGCUUCAUCUAGAGUUCUUCUGAAGGAGAUCUACGGCCUGACCUACCUCUGGGAGAGCAGGUCCCUCUCUACAUACCACGUGUCACAGAGGCCUGCGUGACCAUCUUCACACCAGAUGCCAUUCUCAGGCCCUUAGCAACCUUCUUUUUUCAUAAGAGCACUCACUCCGCCAAGUGAUGACAUAUUUAUGUGUUGGUUACAUCUGUCUCCUAUGAGAAUGGAAGCUCCACAAGAGCAGGGCCUCUCUCUUGUUCACUCUGUGUCUCCGGUGCGGAGGACAGUGCCUGGCACAGUGUAGACUCUAAAUAAAUACUGUUGGAUGAA